rnacentral:rRNA from 1 species
AACGCGAAGAACCUUACCCAGACUUGACAUCCUUGAAAUUCCGCAGAGAUGUAGAAGUGCCCGCAAGGGAAUCAAGAGACAGGUGCUGCAUGGCUGUCGUCAGCUCGUGUCGUGAGAUGUUGGGUUAAGUCCCGCAACGAGCGCAACCCUCGCCUUUAGUUGCCAGCAUUCAGUUGGGCACUCUAGAGGGACUGCCGGUGUCAAGCCGGAGGAAGGUGGGGAUGACGUCAAGUCCUCAUGGCCUUUAUGUCUGGGGCUACACACGUGCUACAAUGGUCGGUACAAAGGGCUGCAAAAGCGCGAGCUUAAGCCAAUCCCAGAAAACCGAUCCCAGUUCGGAUCGAAGUCUGCAACUCGACUUCGUGAAGUCGGAAUCGCUAGUAAUCGCGGAUCAGAACGCCGCGGUGAAUACGUUCCCGGGCCUUGUACACACCAGACGUA